CGUUACAUACAAACGUUCACCUAAAUUGUCCCAGUCAAUGGAUGAAUUUAAUGUGUCAAUCAAUGGCCACAGCCACACUGUUUUGAAUUUCAUUCUACUUAUAACAGCGUGUAGGUGGUAACUUGUUUUCUAGGUUACCUUAAAUUAAUAUAUUGGAUAUAUUUGGUAUGCGUCUAUCAGACAGCAACAUAACAACGCAAUGAUGAUGAAAACAAAAGACAUCCAUAGGCGAACAUAGUACGGUCGUCAACAAUAGACACAGAAGACAACCAUAGGCGAACAUAGUACGGUCGUCAACAAUCUAUAGGCGAACAUAGUACGAUCGUCAACUAUAGACAAGUUCUGUACUUCAUAUGAAAACUUUAAACUGCUCUGCAUGAAGACAAGUUUUGCAUGAGUCUUAU
rnacentral:lncRNA from 1 species